CGAUGGUUGUCCGCGUUUAAGGUUGUAGGCUGGGGUUUUAGGCAAAUCCGGAACCCUAAGGCUGAGAAUUGAUGACGAGUCCUCUUUUGGACGAAGUGGUUGAUGCCCUGCUUCCAGGAAAAACUUCUAAGCUUCAGAUAUGCAUGAACCGUACCCCAAACCGACACAGGUGGUCAGGUAGAGAAUACCAAGGCGCUUGAGAGAACUCGGGUGAAGGAACUAGGCAAAAUGGUACCGUAACUUCGGGAGAAGGUACGCCGGCCGGUGUGAAGGACUUGCUCCGUAAGCACUAGUCGGUCGAAGAUACCAGGUGGCUGCGACUGUUUAUUAAAAACACAGCACUCUGCAAACACGAAAGUGGACGUAUAGGGUGUGACGCCUGC
rnacentral:rRNA from 10 species